UUGAUCUCCCAGAGAGAAACUGUAAAAAUGC
rnacentral:piRNA from 1 species